AGAGUUUGAUCCUGGCUCAGGACGAACGCUGGCGGCGUGCUUAACACAUGCAAGUCGAACGAUGAAGCCCAGCUUGCUGGGUGGAAGAGUGGCGAACGGGUGAGUAACACGUGAGUAACCUGCCUAUCACUCUGGGAUAAGCGCUGGAAACGGCGUCUAAUACUGGAUAUGUCCCAUCACCGCAUGGUGUGUGGGUGGAAAGAUUUAUCGGUGGUAGGUGGACUCGCGGCCUAUCAGCUUGUUGGUGAGGUAAUGGCUCACCAAGGCGACGACGGGUAGCCGGCCUGAGAGGGUGACCGGCCACACUGGGACUGAGACACGGCCCAGACUCCUACGGGAGGCAGCAGUGGGGAAUAUUGCACAAUGGGCGCAAGCCUGAUGCAGCAACGCCGCGUGAGGGAUGACGGCCUUCGGGUUGUAAACCUCUUUUAGUAGGGAAGAAGCGCAAGUGACGGUACCUGCAGAAAAAGCACCGGCUAACUACGAGCCAGCAGCCGCGGUAAUA
rnacentral:rRNA from 1 species